ensembl:lncRNA
GGAACUGCUGUCCUUGCAUGACUCCACCCCUUCCCCCAUAAUCCUCUAUGCACAACUUAAGGUAUAAAAAACUAUUUUGGAAAAUAAAGUGCGGGCCUUGUUCACAGAAACUUGGUCUCCCCAUGUCGCUCUCUCUCCCAAAUUCUGGCUGAGUCUCCAUCUGGAGCGUGGAACCCGCCAUGCUUGCUAAUUAUGCCUGGGCUUCUAAGAUCUGACCGGGGAGGCCUCAGUGUCUCCUCUCCUUCGGGAGAACGGAAGGAUGCCUGCAGCCUACCCAACUGCUUCAUCUGGAGCUCAACCAAAGAAACCGCGAUCUGUUCCAAUGGCAGAAGAAAAAGAAAUCUUUGGACUUAUUGAGAAACGGUGUGUGGAUAUCGAAUGUGGCACUUCCCAAGAGAUUUUUAAAGAUAUAGAUACAACAAAUUUAGACAGCAGAGUUUUAAAAGCCUUCCCAGUCCUUUCCAUUGCUCUGGUAAAUACCCUCGGUGAUUUCCUGGGACUUGCACCACGCUGGGCCCCCAGGAUCACAGGUGCCAAAGACGAGAUGGCCACGUCAAAAUCAGAGACACAUGGUCAAGGAACAGUGCCAAGAUCUUCUCUCAUAGAUGGAAGUCAACCAAAGAGGAGAAAUACAAGGAAGUACGACGUUAGCUCAAAGGGAUUUGGAGAUCAGCUCCCCAGUAUUUUUUAAAAGAGCCAUGAAGAGCAAUACGUCAAUGAAUAUUGAGAAAUAUUCUCAGUUCUCAUGAAACUAGAAAAAAAAAAAAAUUCUGUCCUUUCACUUUCACGAAGGAUGCACAGCUAUAGUCAUCUUCAUGCACAGGUCUCAUCUCCAGAAAAUAUGCUCUUGCAUCUGCCUGGAAGUUUUUUCCCAUUCUCAGUUUUCUGUUCCCUUUCUUAAUACUUUAG